rnacentral:lncRNA from 1 species
CUUCGUGCUGGUGGAGGUCUGUGGCCUAGGAGAGAAGAGGACAGUUUUCCACAGGUGUCCUACCAGUUUAAAAGCACAAACAAAAUUAGGUAACAACCAUUUUAGCCAUAAAAGGGGACCAGGAAGGAUUUAUAACAUGGAUAUACUUCUUAUUUGUUUAGAUUUAUAACAUGGAUAUACUUCCUAAUAAUACUUCUUAUGCACAUAUACUACUUAAGAUUUUAAGGAGCUAGUCUCUACUUCUAUUUUUUAUGACUACCUUCAGAUUUUGAUAACUGUAAAAAGCAUGACAAAUUCAAGAAAAUGGCUGACAACUUGAAAUUUUCAAGAAAAGAAGGAGGAAAGAUUUAAUAAUCCAAAAGCUAACAGGACAAGUUUUCUUAUUUCCUUAGAGGAGAAAAAAACACAGGCCAACUAAAUUAAACUGUGAAUAUUAGAGAACUAAAUAAAUAUAAUCACGAAUAUGAAUGAGUCAUGUAUAAAUAAAAAUACACACACACAAAAUCUAUGAUUUUUCCACAAGAUAUAAUUAUACACUUACAAUGAAAACUGGCUGUUAAGGAGUUACAGUAAAAUUUUGACUUUAAAUAACAUCCCGGAUAUUAUGGAGGUUAACAAAGAAUCUCCUUAUAUUUAUCUCAGAGAGCAUCUUUCAUCCUAUUAAGAGCUUUACUAAGAAAAGCUAUUCCUACAGUUUAAAUUUGAAAGUGUCCUGAAGUCUAAAUUAUAUCAACUUUUUUUUUUUUUUUUUUUUUGAGACCAAGUCUCACUCUGUCACCCAGGCUGGAGUGCAGUGGCGCGAUCUCAGCUCACUGCAACCUCUGCCUCCCAGGUUCAAGCAAUUGUCCUGCCUCAGCCUCCCAAGUAGCUGGGAUUAUAGGUGCCCGCCACCAUGCCUGGCUAAUUUUGUGUUUUUAGUAGAGACAGGGUUUCUCCAUGUUGGUCAGGCUGGUCUUGAACUCCUGACCUCAGGUGAUCAGCCUGCCUUGGCCUCCCAACAUCCUGGGAUUACAGGUACGAGCUACUGCACCCGGUCUCAACUAGUUUACUAAAAAUUACUUCAAGGUUAUUUUAGAGUAAAAAAAAACAAAAAACAAAAAACUUUAUUGUAGUUUCUGUUAUCCUUAAAAUGUUUAUACCAAUCUAUACAAACCCUUGCCCAACUUCAGAACCAAAGAUGCUUAAAUACAUAUUGGAUGGAAUAAGAAGCUACUAUAGUUGUGACCCUAAAGAUGAACGUAGUUUUUUAUGUUGGUAAUAGAUACUAGUAUAAAGUUAAUAUUUAGGACAACGCUAGACACCUAAUAAACAUGUUAUACAUUUAUUACCAACCUAAUACAGGCCUUCUAUAUUUACUUUUUAAAAUCAAAAUCCCACUUUCUAAGGUUAUAUUUUUAAACCAGAGCUGAAAUUGUGCACAGAUUGAGAGCAACAAAAAACAGUGAAUCACUGAGUCACUCACGUCCAACCUGUUAGUCGUGUUUGAAAGUCUUUGAUGGUUCCUCACCACUCAAGUAUCAAGUCCCCUGCCCAACAUGUUAGAGCUUUUCUCCUACUAACCUUGUCCUACUGUCAGUUUCUCAUACUUCUCUCUGCUUGGAAAUCCCAGAGUUCCUCCCUUACACCUUGGCCUAGUCUACCUACCUACCCAUCAAUCCCUACUUGUGGAAAUACCUAAGUCUAGUGCACACCACCCUUUUCAUCAAAUGAACCCUUCCAGUUCAGUACCAUACUACUCAUAUAUUAGUGUAUACAUGUACAAUUAAUAAGAUCACACCUUAACUAUGUAAAUACAUGAAUAUCAGGCAAACUAUAAUCAGUUGGCAAAUUUACUAUUUACCUUAAAUGAAGAACUCAGUUCCUCUUUUUAGGACUCUUGAAACAGAAAGUGUGGUGUGGAAGAAAAAAUAAGAGCUCCUAUAAAUGUCUAAGUUUGAAUCCAGGUUCUUUCUAAUUGCUACUUUGAGCAAGUCACUGACCUUCAUUUAGUCUCAGCUUCCUCAUUUGCAUAUUGGGAUAUUAUUACUGCACUUCAAAGAUUUGUUAGAUUUGUCAUGUUGAAAUGUUUAUUGGCUUAUACAGGUAACUUUCUAGGAGGCUGUGAGCUAUUUGAGGGAAAAGGAAUACAUUUGUAUUUACCUUUCUAUAACCAAGCCUCGGGCACACAGCAAACACUAAAUGAAACGGGAAUCAAUUUAUUUGGCAUUUAAUUUUUUCUAUGCAUUUUGUCAGUUUGUUUUUCUUUUCCAAACAGUUUAUAAGCUCCUCAAGGGCAAAGGUCAUGUAUAAUAAUUAUCCUGUAUCACCCACAACACCUAAAACAGUUAGUACCUAAAAACAGGUACUAAAAGUUUGGUUGACUUUAACGUCAGGCCAAAGUAAACAGCGACAGGGAAGAUUAAAACAGUGUCUAACUCUCAGUGGACUUUGGUAUUAUUAUGCCUAACAGAUACAUGGUUUAAGGCACGGGUGUUGGAUUAUGCAAUGUUCUUCUCAAGGCACAAAUGCUUCUUUCUAAGAAUUAGCAAGACAAAUUUAAAGAAGAAAUCUAACAGAGUUGCUAUGUUCAGCAGACAGGAACUCUAAAAAUCUCUGUCAUUUGCUGUAUUACCUGAAGCCAACAGAUAAUUUUUAAAGCUGCUUUUGGGCAAAUAUGAAAAGAAAUGCAGUCUAUUCUACAUUUUCUCUAAAUGGCUGUACAGCAGGGAAAGUAAUGUUAUAAGUUUAUUGCCAACUAUCUCUGUGACAAAUACAAUUCACAUGGAUUACACAGUUGAGGGGUCUGUGAAAAGACGGUUUCAUAUUUCUCUACUCACUCACUCAGGUCAAAAAUAUUGGGCCAGGCAUGGUGGCUCACACCUGUAAUCCAAGCACUUUGGGAAGCCAAGGCGGGUGGAUGACCUGAGGUCAGGAUUUUGAGACCAGCCUGGUCAACAUGGUGAAACCCCGUCUCUACUAAAAAUACGAAAACUAGCCAGGUGUGGUGGCAGGCAGGUGUAAUCCCAGCUACUCGGAAGGCUGAGGCAGGAGAAUUGCUUGAACCUGGGAGGUGGAGGUUGCAGUGAGUCAAGAUCGUGCCACUGCACUCCAGCCUGGGUGACAAGAGCAAAACUCCGUCUCAAAAAAAAAAAAAAAGUUACUAUUGGAUGCUGGCUAUGUACUAAGUACCAUGUACUGUGCUAGGUGCUGGGGAUACAGUGAUAAGGCAAUGACUACCUCUGUCCUUGGGAGCUUACAGUCCAGCCUGCACAGCCCAAGUCAGUAGCCAUGAGCCAUAACAUAUGGCUCCUGAGCACUUGAAAUGUGGGUGGUCCAAACUGAACUGUGCUUUACAUGUAAAAUACUCACUGGAUUUCAAAGACUUAGUACCCAAAAAUGAAUGUGAAAUUAUUAGUUUUCAUAUUGAUUGUAUGUUGAAAUGAUAUUUUUAAUAUACUGGGUUAAAUAAAAAUAUUAAAUAAAAUUAAUGUUACCUGUCUGUUUUACUUUUUUAAAUGUGGGUACUGGAAAAAUUUUAAUUUUGUGGUUUACCUAUUUCUGACACAGUGCUGAUCCAGCCCAACUGUUGGUUUCUGUUAAUAAUUUCACGAUCUCUGCAAAUCACACUUUUGGGUAAAGAGCAUCUAAUCAAUAUUUGAUAAAUAUUAAACAUCCUGUCAAGGAAUCUCAUAGCUGAGAGUAAAAAUGCAACUCCUCUUUCUCUCUCGCCAGUAACUACAGAUUUCUUUCUCAUAUUUAUAACCCAAGAGUGACUAACAUAUUAAAAAGCCAUUCCAUUUUGGAUAAACCAUGGGAAUUGUCUGUCUGGAUUAAUGCCACGGAGACUAAGCAUUAAUUUUUAUUAGGUGAAAUAUAGCAUAGGGUCCUCAACCUUGACAAAACUGAAAUUGUGUUUCAGGGUCUAAAGUAGCUCUCUAAAUCCUCCCCCAACUUCUCCAUCUGCAAAUCCCAUUUUCCUAAAAAUUACUUGCUGCUAAUAAAAUCUACCAUAGAAUUCGUUUACCUGAUUCAGGAACUCCCAGUGGGAAAUGUAAAAGCAAAAAAUUAAAACAGAACCUGUAUUCACAGGUAAACACUUAAUAUCCAGAAGGGAACAUGAAGCUAAAGGAUUAUGUCCCUGUGAUGUGGGACCCAUCCUCUCUUCCAUGUCACAAGGACUUGCUCUUUACCCAGGGAGCAAGCAGGAACUUACGGUAACCAGGGAAAUGGGUUUCAGUUUCUAGCCCAAAGGCAGAAAGAAGCUAGCUGUCUGAGAUAAUGUGACAGAAGGUUAAGUUGUUUCCAAUGUUUUCACUACUACAAAUAAUAUUGUAACAAAGCUUCCUCUACAUAUAUUUGUAUACAAAUGUAUGAGAAUUUCUGGAGGUAGAAUUUCUAGGUCAAAGGAAUAUGCAUUUAAAAUUUUUAUAGAAAAAAUAAAAAAUACAAAACAAAAAAUUUUUAAUAGAUACAAUACUGUUAUAGGGCCAUACUGCUUUCCAAAUAGAAUGGACCCAUUUCUACUCCCAGCAAUGUUAUGCCAGUGCCUACUUCUUCAUGCUUUCUUUAGCCUUCUCAAAUUUGUGCCAAUCUGAUGGGUAUAAAUUGGUGUCAGGUUAAUCUGCAUUUCCCUUAUUUUACUAGUUCACAUGUUUAUUGGCCCAUUUGUAUUUCUUCUUUUUGGAACUGCCGGAUCAUCUCCUUUGCCUACUUUUUAGAUCUAUUAGGUUGUCUUCUCACCAUUGUGUAAUUUUUUUUUCUUUUUCCUUUGAGACAGGGUCUUACUCUGUCGCUCAGGCUGAGUGAGACCUACCUGUGGUAGCAUAAUCACAGCGCACUGCAGCUUCAACCUCUCUUCCUCAAGUGAUCCUCUCACCUCAGCAUCUAAAGUAGUUGGGACUAUAGGCAUGAGCCACCACACCUAGCUACUUCUUUUAUUUUUUUUGUAGAGAUGAGGCAUCAUUAUGUUGCCCAGGCUGGUCUUGAACUUCUAAUCUAAGCUCAAAUGAUCCUCCUGCCCCAGCCAUCCAAAGUGCUGGGAUCACAGGCAUAAGCCACCUUGCCUGGCCCCAAAUUCUUUAUUUUAUAUGUAUUUCUUCCAGCCUGCUCCUUGUCUUUUGUUUACGGCAUCUAUUAACAUACAGAGGUGUUGAGUCUCUCAAUCUUGUCUUUUACAGCUCCCUUGUUCUAUAUUUCAUUCACCUCUGCAUUAUUAUAAAAUGAUUAAGAUAUUGUCAUUUGUUUCGAAUAAUUUCAUGUUUUGAUUUUUUAUAUUCAGAAUUCGAAUACAUCAGAAUUUAUAUUUUUGUGUGUUGUAUAAGGUAGGGCUCUAAUUUUUCCUCCCAAAAUAAACAGGCUACUGUCCCCAAACCACUUAAAGAAAGCCACCCCUCCUAUACUUAUUUGAAAUGCCACCUUUACCAUAUACUAAAUCGACAUGUUCUAGAGUAGAAUUAGGAAAAUCCCAAUAUUCAGGUCUAAUCCCCUUGGACACAAAAUUUAUUGCUCUUUAAGAAUAUAUGAAUGUAAAUAUAUAUAAACAAUAUGUAAAUAUAUAAAAGAACAUCACAGAAGCUUAAAUACAAAAGCUUGUAAAUAAAGUAGUACAUAACAUUUACUGCUUAGUAAGUCUAUUACUUACAAGAUGUAGCCACCUACAGAUGUGCUAAUGAACAUUUGUGGUGAGGCCAUUUUAAAAAAAAACUUAUUAUUAAAAGUAUUCAUUAGUUAUAAAUAUCGAACAGCCUAAAUGAUUAAUCAAUUUAACUGGUUACUUCUUUCCAAAUGUAAAGGCCACAAUUACCUCUACCACAAAAGACAGGUCUUCUGUUGGACCUAGAAGCCUCAAGGAAAGCCAAGGAAGUUUGAUCCAGUUAGCUCUCCCAUAUCCCCCAAAAGGCAGGUACAACUUUUUACUACUCCCAGAGCCCAAGUUGCUCAGACCAAAGCAAUCCAUUCACACCAGCCCACAAUAUUACUUGUUGGUUAUAUAAGCAUCUCCUACCACAGGGCCUCCCAAAGUGCUGGGAUUACAGGUGUUAGUCACCAUGCCUGGCCCUCAUUACCACAUUGUUUUAAUUAUUAUAGCUUUGAACUAUCUUUCAAUAUUUAGAACAAAUUCCCUUUUGUAUUACUUUUUCCCAAAAACUUCUAGUUAUUUUUCUCCAUUUACUUUUGCAAUGAAUUUUAGAAUGAGUUUGUUAAGUCUAUAAAAAGUCCCAUGGACAGACAGCAUCUUAUCCAGGUGAUCAAAAUUAACAUCACCAGUAAUGGGACAAAUCAAUCAACAUCAUGUGCAAUGAGAUGAUCACAAUAUUAUUUCAGUGGUAGUCCUGCCAAAAAUAUAUAAGCUGAAUGUAACUAUGAGAAAAUGGGGAGAAACCCAAACAAAGGGACGUUUUACAAUAUACCUAGCCUGCAACUGUUCAAAAAUAUCAAUGUCAAAAAGACAAACGCUGAGAAACUGUUCAACACUGAAGGAGGCUAAAGAUACAUGACAACAGAAUGUAACACACAAUCUCAGAUUUUCUACUGCUAUUAAAGAACAUUAUUGGCCCAGCACGGUGGGUCAUGCCUGUAAUCCCAGCACUAUGGGAGGCUGAGGCGGGCAGAUUGCCUGAGGUCAGGAGUUUGAGACCAGCCUGACUAACAUGGUGAAACCCUAUCUCUACUAAAAAUACAAAAAUUAGCCACGCGUGGUGGUGGGCACCUGUGAUCCCAGCUACUCGGGAGGCUGAGGCAUGAGAAUCGCUUGAAACUGAGAGGUGGAAGUUGCAAUGAGCUGAGAUUGCACCACUGCACUCCAGCCUGGGCAACAGAGUGAGACUCCGUCUCAAAACAAACAAACAAAAAGAACAUUAUUAGGAUAGUGGCAAAAUAAUAAUGGCAAAAUCUGAAACAAGGUCUGUAACUUAUAUAGUAGUAUUAAUUGUACCCAUUAUUUAUAGGGUUAAUAAUCAGUGUUGAUGCCUAAUUUUGAUACAGGUUCUGCAGUUAUGGAAGAGAAUGUCUGUUUUUCAGGAGCAAACACUUUGGUACACAGACAUAAAGAGAUAUGGCAAAAUAGUGAAACCCUAUCUGUACCGACCCUGCCAAAAAAAAUUAGCCAGGCAUGGUGGCACAUUCCUGUAGUCCCAGCUACGUGGGUGGCUGAGGUGGGCUGGAGGAUCGCUUGAGUGCAGUAAGCUAUGAUUGCACCCCUGCACUUCAGCCUGGGUGACAGAACAAAACUUCAUCUCUAAAAAAAAUUAAAUUUUAAAAAAUUAAAAAAAAAAAAAAGAGACCUGCUGGGCUCAGUGGCUCACAUCUGUAAUCCCAGCACUGUGGGAGGCCAAGGCGGGUGGAUCACUUGAGAUUAGGAGUUCGAGACCAGCCUGGUCAACACGGUGAAACCCUGACCCUACUAAAAAAAUACAGGGUGUGGUGGCGCACACCUGCAGUCCCAGCUACUCAGGAGGCUGAGGCGGAAGAAUCACUUAGACCCCGGAGGCGGAGGCUGCAGUGAGCUGAGAUGGCGCUGUUGCACUCCAGCCUGGGCGACAGGGUGACAGCCUGUCUCAAAAAAAGAGAGAGAGAGCAAGACAUCAUGUCUGCAAUUUUCAAAUGGUUGAAACAGAAAAAUAUGUAUGUGCGUAUUGUGUAUAAAGGGGGGAAGGGAGAGAGGAGAGGGAGCAGGAUAAAGUAAAAGACAAAAUAACAUUUGGGGAAUCUGGGUAAAGGAUACAGGAGACAUUUUUUUCCCUUUUCUUUCUUUUUUUUUUUUUUUGUUUGAGAUGGGGUCUCGCUCUGUCGCCCAGGCUGGAGUGCAAUGACUCAAUCUUGGCUCAUUGCAACCUCCACCUCCCGAGCUCAAGCGAUCCUUCCACCUCAGCAUCCUGAUGAGUGCUGGGACCACAGGCGCGCACCACCACGCCCAGCUUUUUUUUUUUUUUUUUGGAUAUUUGGUAGAGACGGCGUUUCGUCUCGUUGCCCAGGCUGGUCUUGAGGCGGCUAACUCCUGAGUUUAAGCGAUCCACCUGCCUCGGCCUCCCACAGUGCUGGGAUUACAGGCGUGAGCCACCGUGCCCGGCCAGGAUACAGGAGAAUUUCUACCAUUUUUGCAAUUUUUGCAAUUAAACCGGAAGUUCUAUGGCAAUUAAAAUUCUAUUUUUAAAAAGUCCCUUGAGGAUUUUAUCUGGGAUAACCCAUUAAGGAACAUAAUCCCUAGCCAUUUAUUCUUGUCUUUUUUGAUGUCCAUGAGUAUAGUUUCUUUUUUCUUUUUUUUUGAGACAAGUCUCGCUCUGUCGCCCAGGCUGGUGUACAGUGGCGCGAUUUCGGCUCACUGCAACUUCCGCCUCCGGGUUCAGGCGAUUCUCCCACCUCAGCGUCUGGAGUAGCUGGGACUCCAGGCGCACACGACCUCAACCAGCUAGUUUUUUUUUGUUUUGUUUUUUGUUUUUUUUUUCCCGGGGAAGGGUUUUUUGUUUUGUUUUGUUUGGAGACGGAGUCUUGCUCUGUCCCCCAGGCUGGGGUGCAGUGGCGCGGUCUCACCUCACUGCAACCUCCGCCUCCCGGGUUCCAGCCAUUCUCCACCCUCAGCCUCCAGAGUAGCUGGGACUACGGUACGGGCCACCGCGUCCGGCUCUUUUUUUUUUUUUUUUUUUUUUUUGAGACGGAGUCCCACUCUGUCGCCCAGGCUAGAGUGCAGUGACGCGAUCUUGGCUCACUGCAACCUCUGCCUCCUGGGUUCGAGCAAUUCUCCCGCCUCAGCCUCCCGAGUAGCUGGGAUUACAGGCGUGCACCACGACGCCCGGCUAAUUUUUGUAUUUUUAGUAAAGACUGGGUUUCGUCAUGUUGGCCAGGCUGGUCUUGAAUUCUUGACCCCACGUGAACCGCCCACCUCGGCCUCCCAAAGCGCUGGGAUUACAGGCGUGAACCAUGGCACCUGGUCGCCCAGCUAGUUUUGUAUUUCAUCAAGUUUCAUUGUUUUAUUGUUUUUUUAUUUCUAAGUACUUUAUAAAUUUCCAUACAAUUGUAACUAGAUACCUCUUUUAUUUUGUAAUUGGUUGCUGUUAAUAUAUAGGAAGGUGGUUUUUUGCAAGUUUAAAUUUUGUCCAGCCAAUUUUCUGAACUCUAGUAUUAGUUAUCAUGAAUUAUCUUGAAUUUUAUAGGUAGACAAUCAGAUCAUCUGUUAUUAAUGCCAACUUUAACUCUUCUUUUCCAAUAUGUGUACUUCUUUUUUCUUUUUCCUGGUCUUCUACUGUAUUGGCUGAAAACUCCAGAACAAGGUUGAAUAGUGGAGAUGACAGUGGACAUCUUUGUCUCGUUUUUUUUACUUUAAUGAGGACACUGCUUUCUCAAUGUAAAGACAGUAAGGAUGAAGACCUUUAUGAUGAUCCACUUCCACUUAAUGAAUGGUAAGUGUAUUUUAUUUUUCUUAUAAUUUUUUUUUUGAGAUGGAGUCUUGCUCUGUUGCCCAGGCUGGAGUGCAGUAGCACGAUCUUGGCUCACUGCAACCUCCGCCUCCUGGGUUUAAGCGAUUCUCCUGCCUCCGCCUCCUGAGUAGCUGGGAUUACAGACACCCACCACCAUGCCCGGCUAAUUUUUGUAUUUUUAGUAGAGGGGGGAUUUCAUCAUGUUGGCCAGACUGGUCUCAAACUCCUGACCUCGUGAUCCACCCGCCUCAGCCUCCCAAAGUGCUGGGAUUACAGGUGUAAGCUACCACUCCUGGCCUGGAUUUUUCAUUUUACCAGAGUACAUCUUCAAGUAAUUUUAUCAAAAUGGGGUAUGUCACAAACUUUCAGAAAUCUUAUUUUGACCCCCCCACUUAAACAUUAGUGAGGCCGGGUACUGAAUUCUGUCUUGAGAAUAAUUUCCCCUCAGAACACUGAAGGCAUUUAUCUUGUAGCAAACCAUGCUGCAGGUGAGAAAUCCAUGCCAGUCUGAUUUUCAGUUUUGAGUCUAUGUAACUUGUUUUCUACCUCUGAAAUAGUAAGUACUUUAGUAACGUAUAGGGAGGUACUUUCUGUUGGUUUGUUUUUGCAUUUUUUCCUGUUUGGUCCUUUAUACAUGAAAGGCAUGCCCUUUAUACGUGAAAACUCAGAUUUUUUUUUUUUUUUUUUGAGUCUUGCUCUGUAACCCAGGCUGGAGUGCAGUGACAUGAUCUCAGCUCACUGCAACCUCUGCCUCCCGGAUUCAAGCAAUUCCCCGCCUCAGCCUCCCGAGUAGCGGGGAUUACAGGCACCUGCCACCACGCCUGGCUAAUUUUUUUGUAUUUUUAGCAGAGACAGGGUUUCACCAUAUUGGCCAGGCUGGUCUUGAAAUCCUGGCCUCGUGGUUCACCUGCCUCGGCCUCUCAAAGUGCUGGGAUUACAGGUGUGAGCCACCGUGCCUGGCCAAAACUCAGAUUUUUAAAUUUUCUCCCUUCCAUUGUCUGAUCUUUCCUUCUGUAACUCCUGUGAAAUGGGUACUUGAUCACUCAGAUCUAUCCUCAAAGGAUGAAUUUUCCUCAUGUACUUUCUAUCUGUAGGUCUUCUUUAUAGUCUGCAAAUUUCCUCUAUUUUAUUUUUAUGAAAAGUAACUAGUCUUAAGUGUAUUGUUUAACCCUCCAACUGAGUUUUAAUUUCAGCAAUCAAUUCUUCAAUAUAAAACUAAUUCAUUAAUCAUUACUUUUUAUCCAUGGAAGCGUUUUUUGUUUUGUUUUGUUUUGUUUUUUGAGACAGUGUCUCGCUCUGUUGUCCAGGCUGGAGUGCAAUGGCGCGAUCUCAUCUCACUGCAACCUUUGCCUCCCAGGUCCAAGUGAUUCUCAUGCCUCAGCCUCACGAAUAGCUAGGAUUACAGGCGGCUGCCACCAUACCCAGCUAACUUUAGUAUUUUUAGUAGAGAUGGGGCUUCACCAUGUUGUUUGGCCAGGCUGGUCUUGAACUCCUGGCCUCAAGUGAUUCACCUAUCUCAGCCUCCCAAAGUGCUGGUAUUAGAAGUGUGAGCCACCAUGCCCAGCCAGGAAGCUGUUUUUUUAAAUUUAUGGAUCUAAUUCACUCUUGGCUCUGUAAAGAUACAUUCUGUGAUUAGAACUUCCUCAAGUUCCACUCCACUUGUUCAUUAUCUCUGUUUCUACCAUAGGCAGCUGUUUUGUUUAUUUUAGUCUCUUCUUAGUUUCCCUCAAAUGUAUGGUGAGCCUUUAUCACCUACUCAUAUUAAUAAAUGAAGGACUACAUUGGUUAGUUAUUAUAAGAAACAUGUGUUUCCUCAACAGUUGUAUUAAUUUGCCUCCAAAACCCAAAUGGAAGGUCUGUCUGAGUGUGGGUCUCUGCAGGUAAGUGGCACACUGACAGACAGGCUUCCCUUUACAAGUGGAGAAAAAGAAAGCAGUUUGACCUUAUUACUGCCAAAAUUGGCAGGCUGUAUUUUGACAGUAUUGUCCUUUAAUGCAUAUGGAUCCUUGAUAGAGCUCCUCUUCUUGUUCUCCUCUCAUUCCACUCUCCUCAUCCAUCUACUACAAAAGUCCAUUCGCUAAGGCUCUGCUUUGUGCACUCUUCCUCCAGUCUUUUUUUUUUUUUUUUUUUUUUUUUAAGAGGGAGUCUCACUCUGUCGCCCAGGCUGGAGUGCAGUGGCAUGAUCUUGGCUCACUGCAAGCUCUGCCUCCUGGGUUCAUGCCAUUCUCCUGCCUCAGCCUCCCAAGUAGCUGGGACUACAAGCGCCUGCUACCACGCCCGGCUAAUUUUUUGUAUUUUUAGUAGAGACGGGGUUUCACCGUGUUAGCUAGAAUGGUCUCGAUCUCCUGACCUCGUGAUCUGCCCACUUCAGCCUCCCUAAGUGCUGGGAUUACAGGUGUGAGCCGCCGCACCCGGCCUUCUUCCUCCAGUCUUAAUCGAUGCUCGCAAUGCCUGCCCAAUCCUCCCCAAGGCAAAUCUUCUACUUUCCUUGAAAUGUUCUCAUGGCUUUAUCCUGGAACUAAUGCCAUUGCUAGGGUGCUUUAUGUGAAGGGAGAGAAGGAGUAGGGGAAGUAACUGUUUUGAAGGCAAUUCUUUCAUUACCUGCCCUGAUAUUCCACCUUCCCCCAAAACUGCUCCAUCUUCCUAUACUUGCCACCUCUAUGCUUAGAGUUUAAGAAAAGAGCCCUACUAAGACACUCUCUGACUUCCACCAUGCAACAGGAGCAUCUAUUCUGGGUUGCAUUUUAUUCUGUGCUGGUUCCUCCAUCAAUAUAAUUCCAAUUGUUUUCUGGUACCCUAAAAUUUCUAAAAACUUCUGGCAUUCUAACAAUAACAAUAAUGAUAGCUAGCACUAAUUCAACAUUUGCUAUAUGUAAAGAAACUCUCCUAAGUGCUCUGUACAUACUGUCUCUCUUGAUCUUCACAGUAACUCUAGGAAGUAGAUACUAUUAUCAUCAUUCUAAUUUUACAGAUGAAGCAACUGAGGCAAAAAAAGAAUAAGCAACUUGCCCAAGGUCAUACAGUUGCUAAAUGGCAGAGCCUGGAUUCAGACACAAGUAAUCUAGUUUCAAAGUCUCCCUUUUCUGUUUUUUUUGUUUUUUUUUUUUAAUUACAAUGAUUUAUUCUUUGUCUUAUGUCUGUUUUGUCAUUUCCAAUGACAUCUGAGAAGUAGGGAAAAGUAAAUGGGUAUGUUAAGUCUGCCAUUUUAUAAUAAAAACCAUUGUUUUCAUUACGCCAUUACUGUUUUCACUACACCACAAUUUUAAUUGGUAGAAAUAUGUUUUAGAGAAGAUGUAGGACCUAGUGAAGAGGAAUCUAGUGACAGAAAAUGGGCCCUAUGAAACUGUCUACAAUCUGAACCAAGAGAGGUGAUAUAAAGAAUUCCAAAAUAUCAGGCUUCAAAGUGGCUAUUUCAAAAGUAUAGAUAAGUUAAAAACAAACAAACAAGCAAAACCACACAACCUAUUGAAGCAUUAAACAAUAGCAUUUUCAUGUUCUCAACAAUUCAUUAGUUCACUGUCACCAAUACCAGAGAGAAGUUGAGAACAUAAUAAAAUGUUACUCCCAUCCUAUUUUCUGACAGUGGCCUUUACAAUACUUUAAUUCAAGGUCAAAUACAUAUGAUAUACCUGCUACAUGCACUAUGCUACAAACUGGAGUAAAGAUAUGAAAGGCACUGUCCUAUUGUCCCUGCCCUUACAGAGCUUACAGUCUAAUGGGAGGCACAGACAAGUAAACAACUACAAUUCAGUGCAAUAAGUGCUAUGAUAUAGGUAGGUACACGGAGGGUGCCAUCAGAACAAAGAGGGGAGAGGCCUGCCAAGGAAGUUUCCCUGGAAAUACUCUUGGACUGAGUGUUAAAGGAUAUGCUAUUAAUGCUAUUAUUGGUUGUUCUGGAGAGACUAAACUGAAUUUAUUAUCCUUUGCCUAAAAUCUACAUCUAAUUUCACUUCCACUUCCUUAUAUGUCAAAUCAAUUCUCUACUUUUUUUUUUUUUAAUGAGACAGGGCCUCGCUCUUUCACCCAGGCUGGAAUGCAGUGGCAUGAUUAUAGCUCACUGUAGCCUCGAACUCUUAGUUGCAAGCAAUCCUCCUGCCUCAGCCUCCCAAGUAGCUGGGACUACAGGCAUGCCCCCACCACACCCGGCUAAUUGUACAUGCGUGCAUGUGUGUGUAUGUAGACAGACAGGGUUUCACUCUGCUGGAUUGCAGGUGUAGGCCACCAUGCCCGGCCCCUAUUCUCCAUUCCUAUUACAACUACCCUCAUUUCAGUCUCCAUCAUUUUGCACACUAAUAACUAUAAUAAUCUCAUAAUUAGCCUUUAAUUAAAUUUCUUCACUAGCUAAAAAACCAAAUCUGAUCCUGAAAACUCCACUUGGGUGGUGCCCACUUGAUCUGGGCCCUCUCCAGCCUCUUUUGUCCACCUCUUUCCCACUGUGCUGAACUUUCUCUACAUCUCUAAAAACACCAUGUCCUGUUUUGCCUAAAUGCCUUUACUCAAGCUGCCUGAUCCCCAUGGUUUGAGAGGAUCCAACCCUCCUUUGCUGACACCUACUCAGCCUUUAAGCACAUCCCUUCUGAUGUCAUCCUCAUGGCCACUCCUCUGUCACCCUCCUUCAGCCAAGUUGAGUCAGAUACCUCUCCUGUGUGCUCCCAUAGCAUGCUACCUCAUCAGAACACUUACCACAAAUAAUUAUACUCAAAUUAUUCUGUAAUUGUCUGUUUACCUGAUUCUCUAUUACUUAGAUCAUCAGGCUAGCACAGUACAUAGGAAGCAAUCAAGAAAUACUGAAAGAAUGAAAGAAUGAACGAACGAACAAACGAAGAGACUUAAGCCUGUGAAAGUUGAUGAGACAACUAAAGGAGAUAAUGGAGAGGACAGAACACUGGAACAAUAUCCACCUUGAGGGAGCAGGAAGAAAGAAGCUAGUGAAGGAAACAGAAUGAACAAUCAAAGAGGGCUUCUAUCAAACAUCUUUGGCAUGUCUCUCUCUCAGCAACCAGCAUAAGUCUGUAUGCACAGACUCCUGUUGACUCUGCGGAGGUUAUUCAAUCAAGGCAGGCACUGACUUCAAAACCCAUUUUAUUCUUUCACCCAAAGAGCAGAAAAAAGAGAAACCAGCAACAUAACAGUGUGACGCCAACACAAAUGUACUUCUUAAAUUUUUAAAUAAAUGUAUGCCUCUCCAGUUUCAUAUAAAUAUAUUACUGGUCUGAACUUUUAUUCAUUGAGUUUUAAUUUUUAUAUAUUCAAAGUGCCAACCUUCCUACGUGAUAGCUUCGACUCUUCAAAACAAAAAUAUAGGCCGGGUGUGGUGGCUCAUGCCUGUACUCCCAGCACUUUGGGAGGCUGAGAUGGGCAGAUCACCUGAGGCCAGGAGUUUGAGACCAGCCUGGCCAACAUGGUGAAACCCCAUCUCUACUAAAAUACAAAAAAAAUUAGCUGGGCAUGGUGUCAUGCACCUGUAGUCCUGGCUACUCGGGAGGCUGAGGCAGGAGAACUGCUUGAGGGCAGGAGAACUGCUUGAGCCCAGGAGGCAGAGGUUGCAGUAAGCCAAGAUCACGCCACUGCACUCCAGCCUGGGCGACAGAGUAAGACUCUGUCUCCACAAAAAUAAUAAUAAUAAUAAUUUCUUCAAUAACUUCAUCAAUAUUUUAUUUUUUGCUAGUUUUUAGUUUUUUCUCUUUCUUACUAUGUUUACUUCACUAUAAAUAUAACAUAGUCAUUGGCUGAAUUAAGAUGGUAGGCUGAGCACAGUGUGAGCAAGCUCACCUUCCCCUAAAAUCUCCCAAAUAACAAAAAAAAGUCAUUAAAAAAAAAAAGACAUAAUUAAAAGAAAACAAGAAAUGCCCUUAGUGGACUAAUACUAUGAGGAAUCACUGGAAGAUGAAAAGCAGAUAGAAUCGGACUAAAGAAGACACCACAGUCCUACACACCAAGAGCAGAGGACCAGGGCAAGUGGAGGGACCAACUCUCGGGGUCAACUAAGCCCCAAGGUAAAAGACAGCAGGAAGAAGUGAAACCAUUUUAAACAUUUACAGCCUAAGUGAUUGGAGUGUAGCACAGAAGUUACAUAGCAGGUUAACCCCUCCCAGCCAUCUACCUCUUUGAGUCAAGCAUUAUAGAAUAGAGGUAUUUGCUCCCAGAUGGGAACAGUGGCAAAAACAACAAAGGUGUCACUCUCCAGCUAGAACAAUCAGUGUGAACACUGGGAUCAGAGGGAGAAGGUAGAACCCCGUGGGGAUACUAACACCCAGGCAGAAGAGGGGACAGUCACACUGAAGGAGCCUGGCAAGUAGUACACUUCAUCUCAUUGCUUACUCCAUCCCUAUCCACAAUCUGUGGAGACCUGCUGCAAUAAACAGAUUUAACACUCACAGCAAGGCUAACUAGGACUCACGAUAAAGAUGAUUGAGCAUAAAACUAAGGCCCAAGCAUGAAGAAGUAUUAUAGAAAAGUAUAUUAAAAAGUUAAGACACAAAAGAGAAUCGAACAAUAUUAAAAUUUCAACUAGCUUUUUGUUUGUUUUGCCAAAAUGAACAAGCUAAUCCUAUACUUCAGAUGGAAAAAAGCAAGAAACCCAGAAUAUCAAAACAAUCUUGAAAAAGAAGUGAAAGAAGACUCAUACUUCCUCAUUUCAAAACUUUCUGGAAAGAUACAGUAUUCAAAAAGUGUGGUACUGGCAUAUGGAUGGACAUACAGAUUAAAUUAAUGAAAUUGAGAGUCCAAAAGUAAACCCUAACAUCCACAGUGUCAACUGAUUUUUUUGACAAGGGUGACAAGACUAUUCAGUGGGGAAUAAAUAGUCUUUUCAACAAAUUGUCCUGGGACACUUGGAUAUAGUUUUACAUUUAGAAUUCUAUACCUACUCCAACUCUUGCUUAAGAAGGAGAGUGAAAUAAAGAAAUUUUUUUAUAUGCAAGGGCCCAAAAAGUUUGCUUCCUUCAGACUUCUAAUGAAAUAAUUACUCAAAGAUAUAUAAUUGGAUUGUUUUUUUAAAAAAUUAAUGCAAGAAUAACAAACAAGGCCCAAGAAAAGGGUAAGCAGAGAAACCAGUAAAACCUUUAAGUCUAAAUAUGCACUGACUGGGGAAAAAAACAUUACUAACAUUCAGAACUAUAAUCUCAGAUGCUAUCAACAGGAAUAUUUAUAAGGGUAGGAAGGGAGGCUGAGAGAAGGAAAACCAGAAGAACAUUAAAGUAUCUGUCUUAUUCAGAUGAAGGAUAUAGAAAAUGACUAAUAUAGAUAUUGAUGAAAAAAUAUAAAUUGAGGUAUUGUGUAAAAGAUUUAAGAAUACUAGCUGGCUUCACUGGUGAAUUCCUCCAAACAUUUAAGAGCCAAUUGCCAAGUCAAAUUGAUAGAAGUAACCAAAGGUCUCAUUCUAGAGAACCUGAAGACACAUGUAAGAAGUCAGUUCUGAUUUUCUAAAAAUGAGAGAGACUAGUUAACAGUAGUUGCCAAAGUGUUUUAUCAAAACUGAUCAUGGUGGCAAGGAUGCAGAGGAACUGGAUGAGUUAUACUUUGCUGGGAGGAAUGUAAAAUGAUACACACAUACUCUGAGAGACAGUAUGGCAGUUUCCUACAAAACUAAACAUAUACUUACCAUACAACUCAACAAUUACAUUCUUGGCCAUUUACCCCAGAGAAAUGAAAACUUAUGUCCACACAAAAACCUGUACACAAACGUUCCUAACAGCUUUAUUCACAAUAGCCAAAACAUGGAAGCAAUCCCAAUGUCCUUCAGCGAAAUGAAUGGUUAAACCUGUGGUAAAACCAUGAACUAUUGAUACAUGCAACCAAUAGGAAAAAAAAAAUAGUGUCAAAAGGUUACAUACUGUAUGAUUUUACUCACAUAGCAUUCUUGAAAUGACAAAAUUUUAGAGAACAGAUUAGUGGUCACUAGGGGUUUGCCAGGGAAGGUGGCUGUGGCUGUAUCAGGGCACCACCAGGGAACCUUGUGAUGGAACUGUUCUGUAUCUUGACUGUGGUGGCCACACGAAUCUAACAUGAAAUAAAAUUGUACAGAAUAUGAUACACACACACACACACACACACACACACGAGUAUGUGUAAAACUGAUGAAAUCUGAGUAAGGUCACUGGAUUGUAUCAAUGUCAAUUUCCUAGUUGUGUUAUUGUACAAUAGUAACAGGAUGUUAUCAUUCCAAGAAAUUGCCUGGGGAAGGGUAUAUGGAUCUCUCAGUAUUAUUUCCUUCCCUUCUCUCUUUUUUUUUUUUUCUUUAAGACAGAGUCUUGCUCUGUCACCCAGGCAAGAGUGCAGUGGCAUGAUCUUGGCUCAAUGCAACCUCCACCUCGUGGGCUCAGGCGAUCCUCCUACCUCAGCCUCUCAAGUAGCUGGGACUACAGGUAUGUGCCACCACACCUGCCUAAUUUUUGUAUUUUUUGUAGAGAUAGGGUCUCACCAUGUUACCCAGGCUGGUCUCAAACUCCUGGGCUCCAAUGAUUUGCCCACCUCGGUCUCCCAAGUGGUGGGAUCACAGGUGUGAGCCACUGCACCCAGCCAAUAUUAUUUCUUAAAACUGUAAAUCAAUCUACAAUUCUCAAAGUAAAAGGUAUAAAAAUUAAAUAAAAACCAAAAAGAAGAAAAAAAAGAUGGUGCCAAUAUGGAAUAGCUUACAUUCAAAAAUGAUAUCUCUAAAACAAUUAUGAAUAUUUAACAAUUAGAACUAUUAGGCCAAGGCGGGCAGAUCACCUGAGGUCAGGAGUUCGAGACCAGCCUCAACAUGGAGAAACUCCGUCUCUACUAAAAAAAAUACAAAAUUAGCCAGGCGUGGUGGUGCAUGCCUGUAAUCCCAGCUACUCGGGAGGCUGAGGCAGGAGAAUUGCUUGAACUUAGGAGGCAGAGGUUGCGGUGAGCCAAGAUCGCGCCAUUGCACUCCAGCCUGGGCAACAAGAGCGAAACUCCAUCUCAAAAAAAAAAAAAUGAAAACUAUUGAAUCAGAGAAAAUGAUCCAAGAAUUCUGACUUAGGUGGCUACAACAUGUGGUACAGUCCUACUCCUAUAUACAAUUCAGGAUCUAUAAAGAAUUUCAAAAGAGAAGCAAAUUAAUACUGUAUUUGGAAUCGCUGCACAGUUGUACAGAUUGCUUACUGCACAAGAGCUCCAGGCAAAGUGUCUAAGGGAGGCUAAAUCCAGCCUUCACUCUAUUCUCCAAUGUACCCAUGGGACUAUGUCUACCUGGAAGAGGAACCUUUUUAAAAUUUCACAAUGGCAUACAUUGAGCUAACAGUGACCUACUUGUUAAGUAAAUGACUUUCUUUUAAAUUUAGGAUAAUCGACAUUUAUUAUCUACUCUAUGCCAAACACCUUUAUAUACUGAGUAUCUACUCUAUGCUUAGCACUUAUAAAUACUCUUUUUUUUGGCGGGGCAUGGGAGAAGUAGACACAGGGUCUAGCUAUGUUGCCCAAGCUGGUCUUGAACUCCUGGACUCAAGAAAUCCUCCUGCUUCUGUCUCCCAAUAGGGAGACAACAGGCAUGUGCCAUCACACCUGGGUCAUUUUUGUUUAUAUUGUAGAGAUGGGGCCGGGGUUUCACCAUGUUACCCAGGCUAGUCUCAAACUCCUGAGAUUACAGACAUGAGCCACCAUGCCCAGCAGUCUUUUUCAAUUUUUUUUGUGAUUCUAAGAAGUUUCGGACAAGGGGAAAAAUUUAAAAGAUAAAAGUUCAUUUUAAAAUAUAUGUUUUUUUUUUACUGUACAUGGGUUUUUUUCUGUAAGAUUUACCAAACAUCUUGCCUGCAUUUGUACUUUAUAUGUAUCGAUGUGAAUGUGCCUAUCUUGAAAUAUUAACUAUAGCCAGAGAUUGUUUUUCUUAAUUGAGUAUCAUCUCCUUCCUUUUUAUCUCCAGUAAAACUUCACUUAGAAAAAUAAAUUGAGGCCAGGGGCGAUGGCUCAGGCCUGUAAUGCCAGCAUUUUGGGAGGCUAAGGAAGGUGGAUCACUUGAGGUCAGGAGUUCAAGACCAGCCUGGCCAACAUGGUGAAAUCCUGUCUUUACUAAAAUAGCUGGGUGUGGUGGCGGGUCCCUGUAAUCCCAGCUACUCGGGAGGCUGAGGCAGGAGAAUCACCUGAACCUGGGAGGCAGAGGUUGCAGUGAGCCGAGAUUGUGCCACUGCAGUCCAGUUUGGGUCACAGAGUGAGAUUGUCUCAAAAAAAAAAAAAGAAAGAAAGAAAGAAAGAAAAAGAAAAACAAAAAACCAAACUAGAAAAGUGAUCAAUUUUGAAAGUGAAGACACGGCCGGGACUGGUGGCUCAGGCCUGUAAUCCCAGCACUUUGGGAAGCUGAGGAAGGUGGGUCACUCGAGGUCAGGAGUUCGAGACCAGCCUGGCCAACAUGGUAAAACCCCC